GCUCAACUGAGGAAUUGCUUUGGAAACUGGAUGACUUGAGUGCAGUAGAGGAAAGUGGAACUCCAUGUGUAGCGGUGAAAUGCGUAGAUAUAUGGAAGAACACCAGUGGCGAAGGCGGCUUUCUGGACUGUAACUGACGUUGAGGCUCGAAAGUGUGGGUAGCAAACAGGAUUAGAUACCCUGGUAGUCCACACCGUAAACGAUGAGUGCUAGGUGUUUGAGGGUUUCCGCCCUUAAGUGCCGCAGCUAACGCAUUAAGCACUCCGCCUGGGGAGUACGACCGCAAGGUUGAAACUCAAAGGAAUUGACGGGGACCCGCACAAGCGGCGGAGCAUGUGGUUUAAUUCGAAGCAACGCGAAGAACCUUACCAGGUCUUGACAUCCCUUGACAACUCCAGAGAUGGAGCGUUCCCUUCGGGGACAAGGUGACAGGUGGUGCAUGGUUGUCGUCAGCUCGUGUCGUGAGAUGUUGGGUUAAGUCCCGCAACGAGCGCAACCCUUAUUACUAGUUGCCAGCAUUCAGCUGGGCACUCUAGUGAGACUGCCGGUGACAAACCGGAGGAAGGUGGGGAUGACGUCAAAUCAUCAUGCCCCUUAUGACCUGGGCUACACACGUGCUACAAUGGCGUAUACAACG
rnacentral:rRNA from 1 species